GAACCGUCCAAACGUUAUUCGGAAUCACUGGGCUUAAAGGGUGCGUAGGCGGCCCGGCAAGUUGGGUGUGAAAUCCCUCGGCUCAACCGAGGAAUUGCGCCCAAAACUGCCGGACUUGAGGGAGACAGAGGUGAGUGGAACUAUGGGUGGAGCGGUGAAAUGCGUUGAUAUCCGUAGGAACACCGGUGGCGAAAGCGGCUCACUGGGUCUCUUCUGACGCUGAGGCACGAAAGCUAGGGGAGCGAACGGGAUUAGAUACCCCGGGUAGUCCUAGCUGUAAACGAUGAGCACUAGAUCGUAGAGAUCUCCAUGUCUUUACGGUCGAACUGAAAAAGGUUUAAGUGCUCCGGCCUGGGGGUAGUAUGGCCCGCAAGGCUG
rnacentral:rRNA from 1 species